rnacentral:rRNA from 1 species
UUGGAGGGCAAGUCUGGUGCCAGCAGCCGCGGUAAUUCCAGCUCCAAUAGCGUAUAUUAAAGUUGUUGCAGUUAAAAAGCUCGUAGUUGAAUUUCGGGGUCAGUAGGCUGGUCGUGCCACAGGUACGUACUGGUCUCACUGAUUCCUCCUUCCUGAUGAACCGUAAUGCCAUUAAUUUGGUGUUGCGGGGAAACUGGACUGUUACUUUGAAAAAAUUAGAGUGUUUAAAGCAGGCUAACGCUUGAAUACAUUAGCAUGGAAUAAUGAAAUAGGACGUUCGAUCCUAUUUUGUUGGUUUCUAGGAUUGACGUAAUGAUUAAUAGGGAUAGUUGGGGGCAUUAGUAUUCAAUUGUCAGAGGUGAAAUUCUUGGAUUUAUUGAAGACUAACUACUGCGAAAGCAUUUGCCAAGGAUGUUUUCAUUAAUCAAGAACGAAAGUUAGGGGAUCGAAGACGAUCAGAUACCGUCGUAGUCUUAACCAUAAACUAUGCCGACUAGGGAUCGGAUGAUGUUAAUUUUUUAAUGACUCAUUCGGCGCCUUACGGGAAAC